rnacentral:rRNA from 1 species
UACGUAGGGUGCAAGCGUUAAUCGGAAUUACUGGGCGUAAAGCGUGCGCAGGCGGUUUUGUAAGUCUGACGUGAAAUCGGCGGGCUCAACCUGGGAAUUGCGUUGGAGACUGCAAGGCUAGAAUCUGGCAGAGGGGGGUAGAAUUCCCCGUGUAGCAGUGAAAUGCGUAGAGAUGUGGAGGAACACCGAUGGCGAAGGCAGCCCCCUGGGUCAAGAUUGACGCUCAUGCACGAAAGCGUGGGGAGCAAACAGG